rnacentral:rRNA from 1 species
GUGGGGAAUUUUGGACAAUGGGCGAAAGCCUGAUCCAGCCAUGCCGCGUGCAGGAUGAAGGCCUUCGGGUUGUAAACUGCUUUUGUACGGAACGAAAAGACUCUGGUUAAUACCUGGGGUCCAUGACGGUACCGUAAGAAUAAGCACCGGCUAACUACGUGCCAGCAGCCGCGGUAAUACGUAGGGUGCAAGCGUUAAUCGGAAUUACUGGGCGUAAAGCGUGCGCAGGCGGUUAUAUAAGACAGAUGUGAAAUCCCCGGGCUCAACCUGGUAACUGCAUUUGUGACUGUAUAGCUAGAGUACGGCAGAGGGGGAUGGAAUUCCGCGUGUAGCAGUGAAAUGCGUAGAUAUGCGGAGGAACACCGAUGGCGAAGGCAAUCCCCUGGGCCUGUACUGACGCUCAUGCACGAAAGCGUGGGGAGCAAACAGGAUUAGAAACCCUAGUAGUCC